rnacentral:rRNA from 1 species
AGCAUACAAGGCAGACGGCUCAGUAACGCGUAGUCAACCUAACCUAUGGACGGGAAUAACCUCGGGAAACUGAGUAUAAUGCCCGAUAGAACACUAUACCUGGAAUGGUUUGUGUUCCAAAUGAUUUAUCGCCGUAGGAUGGGACUGCGGCCUAUCAGUUUGUUGGUGAGGUAAUGGCCCACCAAGACUAUUACAGGUACGGGCUCUGAGAGGAGUAGCCCGGAGAUGGGUACUGAGACACGGACCCAGGCCCUAUGGGGCGCAGCAGGCGAGAAAACUUUGCAAUGUGCGAAAGCACGACAAGGUUAAUCCGAGUGGUUUCUGCUAAAGAAACCUUUUGUCGGUCCUAGAAACACCGAUGAAUAAGGGGUGGGCAAGUUCUGGUGUCAGCCGCCGCGGUAAAACCAGCACCUCAAGUGGUCAGGAUGAUUAUUGGGCCUAAAGCAUCCGUAGCCGGCUCUGUAAGUUUUCGGUUAAAUCUGUACGCUCAACGUACAGGCUGCCGGGAAUACUGCAGAGCUAGGGAGUGGGAGAGGUAGACGGUACUCGGUAGGAAGGGGUAAAAUCCUUUGAUCUAUUGAUGACCACCUGUGGCGAAGGCGGUCUACCAGAACACGUCCGACGGUGAGGGAUGAAAGCUGGGGGAGCAAACCGGAUUAGAUACCCGGGUAGUCCCAGCUGUAAACUAUGCAAACUCAGUGAUGCAUUGGCUUGUGGCCAAUGCAGUGCUGCAGGGAAGCCGUUAAGUUUGCCGCCUGGGAAGUACGUACGCAAGUAUGAAACUUAAAGGAAUUGGCGGGGGAGCACCACAAGGGGUGAAGCCUGCGGUUCAAUUGGAGUCAACGCCGGA